ACCUGCUACAGCUGCCUCAAAGAAUAUUGGAACAAAUUGUUUUUAUAUGUCUGUUCUACCAGGGGAAGUCUUCACAUGUUUUCAAUAGGAAUCUCCCCUAAUUCACCUAUGAGUUUGAGGCUUGCCAAGAUGGUUUUCCUGAGUAUGGCUGCUGAGUAUACCUUGGAGUCACAGAGAGGUGGCUCUGGUGGUAGUGUGCUGAGCAUCUUGGCAUCUUGGCUUGGCAGAAGCUAUUGUCCGGGUUUGGCGGUGAGUUUCCUUGAUACAAUACUGGGAGAAGUUUAGUAGUCUAGUUCAGGGUCCUGGAUUAGAGAGACUCCAAUCAGUCAGCCAACUUUUGCAUUUCUCUCUCUUUUUUAGAAACUCCUAGGAAUAUUUCUCCCUCAUAAAACCUGGUUAAUUGAUAAAGGUUCUUCCUACGUAUGUGAUUCCCAUUACCUAUGAGGGUGUGGAGGGGUUGAGAGUCUUGUGGUGAGUAUUUUCAGCCAAUAUAAAAUAAAACAGAGAGGCAAAGCUCCA
rnacentral:lncRNA from 1 species